UACGUAGGGUGCGAGCGUUAAUCGGAAUUACUGGGCGUAAAGCGUGCGCAGGCGGCUAUUUAAGCUUGCUGUGAAAGCCCCGGGCUUAACCUGGGAACUGCAGUGAGGACUGGAUGGCUGGAGUGUGGCAGAGGGGGGGUGGAAUUCCACGUGUAGCAGUGAAAUGCGUAGAGAUGUGGAGGAACACCGAUGGCGAAGGCAGCCCCCCUGGGCUAGCACUGACGCUCAGGCACGAAAGCGUGGGGAGCAAACAGG
rnacentral:rRNA from 1 species